rnacentral:rRNA from 1 species
GUUGGUCUUACCCGAAGACGGUGCGCUAACCGCAAGGGAGGCAGCCGGCCACGGUAGGGUCAGCGACUGGGGUGAAGUCGUAACAAGGUAGCCGUAGGUGAACCUGCAGAAGGAUCA